rnacentral:misc_RNA from 1 species
GAUGAAGAACGUAGCGAAAUGCGAUAAGUAAUGCGAAUUGCAGAAUCCGUGAGUCAUCGAAUCUUUGAACGCACAUUGCGCCCUCUGGUAUUCCGGAGGGCAUGCCUGUUCGAGCGUCAUUAUCACCCCUCAAGCCCGGCUUGUUGUUGGAUGCAGCGCUUAUCCCGCUCCUCCCAAAGAUAAUGACGGCGUCUGCGACGACUCCUGUACACUGAGCUCUCGGGCACGUACACGGCUAGAAGUCCAGACCCGGUCGCCGUCCCCCCCCGCGGGGGACACCCAUUACCACAAGGUUGACCUCGGAUCAGGUAGGAAUACCCGCUGAACUUAAGCAUAUCAAUAAGCGGAGGA